rnacentral:lncRNA from 1 species
GAAUAACGUUGUGCAGCAAUAAUGUGCGGCUGCGUGCUGUUUGAAGGUGUCCCAUGAAAGCCGCCCACAGCACCGUAGCAGGUCGGGGGCCGAAUGAAAGCUGAUUUCGAUCCGCCAAAGCCACCACCGUGAUGGAGGGGAGCAGCGCCGAAGCCUCAAAAAGUCGCACUGGGGUCGUGUUUUGCCUCCCAGGCACAUCCAGAACCACACGACAGGGCAAGGUGCUGCUUUUAUUGCCCUCCGACAGCCUCCUACCUACCUACCUACCUACCUACCUACCUACCUACCUACCUACCUACCUACCUACCUACCUACCUACCUACAUGCAGCGUCUUACGUUUGGACAGAUGCUUUAGGGGGUCACCCACCUGGCUUUGUGGGGGGUUCUAGUUGAGGCGAGUGUAGGGGGGUUCACCCGAUUCCAUUGAUAGGGGAGCAACGCGCAACGGAAAACUGACAGCUCAUCCCCUACAAGGCUGUGCUCUGAUAUUCUCCACCUGUCUCUUCAUCCCCCUGGCGAGCAUAAAAUCCACGACUGCUGGUUGCCGGUUGUUGGCUGCCUCCGCGUGUGUACUGGCUAGCCCUUGGAUAAGGGUUAUCUAUAAGGGUUGUCUUAUUGUCGUUAUUACCUGAUUAUUUGGUUCACGCUUGUGACACUUGAUACCCCGGAUUUAGUGCGGUGCAGCAGCAAGUGUUUAAACCAUGAGCUGACGUAUUUAUGAUAUGUCGUAAUGUGACCUUAUUACCUCCAUCCAGGUGAUGAACUCCUACAUUAGUGCUUUUGCGCCGCUUUCCUCGAGGUUCCUCGAUGUUCUGUGAGAAGUCAUCAAGACGCGUCACGGUAAUCGUUGACGUGAAUGUCGAGCAAUUAUCAAUAGCUGAGUAAAGUCGAUGCAUUAUCCGAAGCUUCUGAAAAUCGGCCCAAGUGGUAAAUAAUGUAGGACACCAGCGGAUGCCGGGACCUGCAAGCGGGUGCCACAGCUUCAGUGUUUCCUUCUCACGGUGAAAUAGGUUGAAGUCGUUUUACCAUUGGAAACAAAAAAACUUAUGUCGCCCUACAAUGCAAGCAUUCGUACGCGUCGCGGCACCUUCGACAUUACGCAUUCUUGACUGUAUACGUGGGUCACGGCAAAUGCAACACGUCAUCAUAUAAUUUUAGAGUCACAAUGAGCAUUUUAGGUUGUGAAAAACCGGGAAAUUCAGGUAAAAUGUGGAGGACUUCAGUGGCAGACAAAGGGGCAUAACUUGAACGACAUGACAAGUAGCAACAUGUAAGUAAGUGCAAAUGCAAAAUUUGAUGCAUAAUAAGUCUUAAACGCUUAUUGCAAAUGUUCAACGAUUGCGUUCAGUGACGUUCCCGCACCAAUCAUAGGGUGUAUUUCCAGUGCGGAUUAACGUCGCGGAUUAACCCUCUGUCCUCCAUGAAUACUUGCGCAAACGGCUAAGUUGUUGGAAAACUUACCUCGCCUUUUCGACCUUUGGUUCCCUUACGGAACGAAACUACCGUAGUGACAGGAAAUGUUCGUGAUUUUAAUUUCGUGACGGCAUCACGAAAUUAUGUCACAUAUAAAUUACAAGCUGUUCCAGGCGAUGGUCGUCACGAAUAUAUGUGUGCUCCGAAGCCAAAUCGUAUAAUGCCUUCAACACAGUAAUUACUCGUCGAAUUCCAUUUUUCUGGCCAUAUAUACAUCCAUAGUAAUUGAACGGACAUGGAUCCAAGGGCCAAGCGGCCUAAGCAACAAAGCCUCCUUCAAUGCGGACUCUUCACACUUGCUCGCGGCGCCCCAGCUACGGAUAGAGCUGGUUUUGCCGCUCCUAAAUAACCGUGCAUGCAUUGGCCAGCUUUUGCGUCAAUCGGCGUUCUGAGUUGGACCCAGUAACGAAUAUUGCAGGCACCGUUGCUUCGGUUGCGUUGGCUUCUCACGAAUUCAAAAGUUUCACCAAUAAUUUCGGGUCUAAUUUUGAGGGUGUCUCGAACAAUAAAAUCACGAACAUUUCCUGUCACUACGGUAUAUGGCAAGCUCAUACCAAGGACUUCCGUGCCAUAAUCCCUGGCCACUGGAAAUACACCCAUACUGUAAACAAAACGAACCGCGUUGAGCCGAGAGUAUCGGGAAAGGGUCGUUACGCGAACUUCGCAC